GACGAACGCUGGCGGCGUGCUUAACACAUGCAAGUCGAACGAAGUGGCGAACGGGUGAGUAACGCGUAAUAAACCUGCCCUUCAGAGGGGGACAAAAGUUGGAAAAGACUGCUAAUAACGCAUACUGAAGGAGGGGAUUGCGUCGGAUUAGCUAGUUGGAGGGGAAACGGCCCAACAAGGCGAUGAUCAGUAGCCGGUCUGGGAGGAUGAACGGCCACAUUGGGACUGAUACCCGGCCCAGACUCCUACGGGAGGCAGCAGUGGGGAAUCUUCCGCAAUGGACGAAAGUCUGACGGAGCAACGCCGCGUGAGUGAUGACGGCCUUCGGGUUGUAAAGCUCUGUUAAUCGGGACGCGGUACCGGAAUAGAAAGCCACGGCUAACUACGUGCCAGCAGCCGCGGUAAUAC
rnacentral:rRNA from 1 species